rnacentral:rRNA from 1 species
AGCAAUCCCCCGGUAGGGUGGCGAACGGGUGAGUAAGACAUGGGAAUCUGUCCCGGAGAUGGGGAUAUCCUUCCGAAAGGAGGGUUAAUACCGAAUACCGUCCGGUGGGCGAGAGUCCAUUGGGGAAAGGGAGGCCUCUGGCAACAAGCUUCCGCUCCGGGAGGAGCCCAUGGCCCAUCAGCUAGUUGGGAGGGUAACGGCCUACCAAGGCGAAGACGGGUAGCUGGUCUGAGAGGACGAUCAGCCACACUGGCACUGAGACACGGGCCAGACUCCUACGGGAGGCAGCAGUGAGGAAUUUUGCGCAAUGGGGGCAACCCUGACGCAGCAACGCCGCGUGUGGGAAGAAGGCUUUCGGGUUGUAAACCACUUUUGUAAGGGACGAAGUCCUUUCGGCAAAUAACCGAGGGGGAUGACGGUACCUUGCGAAUAAGCCACGGCUAACUCUGUGCCAGCAGCCGCGGUAAGACAGGGGUGGCAAGCGUUGUUCGGAGUAACUGGGCGUAAAGGGUCUGUAGGUGGUUUGUCAAGUCUUUGGUAAAACGCCGUGGCUCAACCAUGGUUUGGCCAAGGAGACUGGGAGACUGGAGGCUGGGAGAGGGAAGCGGAAUUUCUGGUGUAGCGGUGAAAUGCGUAGAGAUCAGAAAGAAGGCCGGUGGCGAAGGCGGCUUCCUGGAACAGACCUGACACUGAGAGACGAAAGCGUGGGGAGCAAACAGGAUUAGAUACCCCGGUAGUCCACGCCCUAAACGAUGGGAACUAAGUGUGGGGAGCAAUCCCCGUGCCGCAGCUAACGCAAUAAGUUCCCCGCCUGGGGAGUACGGCCGCAAGGUUGAAACUCAAAGGAAUUGACGGGGGCCCGCACAAGCGGUGGUGCAUGUGGUUUAAUUCGACG